rnacentral:rRNA from 1 species
UCGGUUUAAAGGGUACYAGGCGGCAGAUCAAGCUUAUAACAAAUUAUAAAAGGACUANUCUGCUAGAGUUACUUCUGAGGGGGCUAUAAAGUACUAAUGGUGUAGAGAUGAAAUUCUGUGAUACCUUUUUUCGAAAGAAAAGCUAUGGCACGGGUAUAGGCGAAGGCAUCCCCUUAUGUGAUAACUGACGUUGAGGGACGAAGGCUUCGUAUAACGAACAGGAUUAGAUACCCUGGUAGUUGAGGCAGAAAAUGAUGAAUGUCAUAGAUUAGAUAUAUAAGUUUAUUCUAUAAAUGAAAGUGUAAGCAUUCCACCUCAAGAGUAAUUUGGCAACAUUGGAACUGAAAUCAUUAGACCGUUUCUGAAACCAGUAGUGAAGUAUGUUGUUUAAUUUGACAAUCCGCAAAA